rnacentral:rRNA from 1 species
AACGAACGCUGGCGGCAUGCCUAACACAUGCAAGUCGAACGAGACCUUCGGGUCUAGUGGCGCACGGGUGCGUAACGCGUGGGAACCUGCCCUUAGGUUCGGAAUAACUCCCCGAAAGGGGUGCUAAUACCGGAUAAUGUCUUCGGACCAAAGAUUUAUCGCCUUUGGAUGGGCCCGCGUUGGAUUAGCUAGUUGGUAGGGUAAAAGCCUGCCAAGGCGACGUUCCAUGGCUGGUCUGAGAGGAUGAUCAGCCACACUGGGACUGAGACACGGCCCAGACUCCUACGGGAGGCAGCAGUGGGGAAUAUUGGACAAGGGGCGAAAGCCUGAUCCAGCAAUGCCGCGUAAGUGAUGAAGGCCUUAGGGUUGUAAAGCUCUUUUACCCGGGAUGAUAAUGACAGUACCGGGAGAAUAAGCACCGGCUAACUCCGUG